rnacentral:rRNA from 1 species
GUCUAUGCCAUGCAACUCUGAACAAGUCCGAUCCCGUACUAACUCGGAAGCUAAGCAGGAUCGGGCCUGGUUAGUACUUGGAUGGGAGACCACCUAGGAAGACCAGGUGCUGUAGGUG